UACGAAGGGGGCUAGCGUUGUUCGGAAUUACUGGGCGUAAAGCGCACGUAGGCGGACAUUUUAAGUCAGGGGUGAAAUCCCGGAGCUCAACUCCGGAACUGCCUUUGAUACUGGGUGUCUUGAGUGUGGAAGAGGUGAGUGGAAUUCCGAGUGUAGAGGUGAAAUUCGUAGAUAUUCGGAGGAACACCAGUGGCGAAGGCGGCUCACUGGUCCAUUACUGACGCUGAGGUGCGAAAGCGUGGGGAGCAAACAGGAU
rnacentral:rRNA from 1 species